GAUGAACGCUGGCGGCGUGCUUAACACAUGCAAGUCGAACGGUGAAAGAGAGCUUGCUCUCUGGAUCAGUGGCGAACGGGCGAGUAACACGUGAGCAAUCUGCCCCUGACUCUGGGAUAAGCGCUGGAAACGGCGUCUAAUACCGGAUACGAGCUGCGAAGGCAUCUUCAGCAGCUGGAAAGAAUUUCGGUCAGGGAUGAGCUCGCGGCCUAUCAGCUUGUUGGUGAGGUAAUGGCUCACCAAGGCGUCGACGGGUAGCCGGCCUGAGAGGGUGACCGGCCACACUGGGACUGAGACACGGCCCAGACUCCUACGGGAGGCAGCAGUGGGGAAUAUUGCACAAUGGGCGAAAGCCUGAUGCAGCAACGCCGCGUGAGGGACGACGGCCUUCGGGUUGUAAACCUCUUUUAGCAGGGAAGAAGCGAAAGUGACGGUACCUGCAGAAAAAGCACCGGCUAACUACGUGCCAGCCGCCGCGGUAAUAC
rnacentral:rRNA from 1 species